rnacentral:sRNA from 1 species
GCGGCCAGACGCCAGCGCCAUGGAGGAGUACGCUCGGGAGCCCUGCCCAUGGCGAAUUGUGGAUGAUUGCGGUGGAGCCUUCACUAUGGGUGUCAUCGGUGGCGGAGUCUUCCAGGCCAUCAAGGGUUUCCGCAAUGCCCCUGUUGUGAGUCCAGGCCUUCCCUGGGUUGGUGUGGGGUUAGCUAUCUUGCCUACAAGGGAGGCUGCUCUGAAAACUGCUUGGAGCUGCCAGUCACGUGCACUUAUUCAUUCUGGUGCCCACUCACCUACUAUGUGCCGAGCCUGGCUCCUGUAUCUGGGAUUUUGUAGGGAUUGCAAACAUGGCCUCUGUCUUCCACCCUCCACCCCACCCAACUGGAGCUCCUCUGUGGAAAUGCUGUGUCGUUCAAAGAGUCAUCACCAAAUUUUAAAUGUAUGUGCAAAGCCAGACAGUUUUUUUUUUUUUUUGAGACAGUCUUGCUCUGUUGCCCAGGCUAGAGUGCAGUGGCAUGCUCUUGGCUCACUGCAACCUCUGCCUCCUGGGUUCAGGCAAUUCUCCUGUCUCAGCCUCCCAAGUAGCUGGGACUACAGGCAUGUGCCACCAGACCUGACGAAUUUUUGUAAUUUUAGUAGAAAUGGGGUUUCACUAUGUUGGCCAGGCUGGCCUUGAACUCUGGACCUCAGGUGAUCCACCUACCUCGGCCUCCCAAAGUGCUGGGAUUACAGGCGUGUGCCACUGUGCCUGGCC